GUCAAACUAUGAUUCAGCAAUGAUGUGCAGUGUCUUACUGUCAUUAAUUUUGUAUACACAACAUUUUCUAUUUUGCCAAAUGUUUGAUCA